rnacentral:tRNA from 1 species
UGGGGAGUGGUCUAAAGGAAUGACGCCGGCCUUUGGAGCCGUGAGAUCCUGGGUUCGAAUCCCGGCUCCCCAG